rnacentral:rRNA from 1 species
GGAGGGUGCAAGCGUUAAUCGGAAUUACUGGGCGUAAAGCGCACGCAGGCGGUCUGUCAAGUCGGAUGUGAAAUCCCCGGGCUCAACCUGGGAACUGCAUUCGAAACUGGCAGGCUAGAGUCUUGUAGAGGGGGGUAGAAUUCCAGGUGUAGCGGUGAAAUGCGUAGAGAUCUGGAGGAAUACCGGUGGCGAAGGCGGCCCCCUGGACAAAGACUGACGCUCAGGUGCGAAAGCGUGGGGAGCAAACAGGAUUAGAUACCCUGGUAGUCCACGCCGUAAACGA